rnacentral:tRNA from 1 species
GGCCCUUUAGCUCAGUGGUUAGAGCAGGCGACUCAUAAUCGCUUGGUCACUGGUUCAAGUCCAGUAGGGGCCACCA